rnacentral:rRNA from 1 species
GACGAACGCUGGCGGCGUGCUUAACACAUGCAAGUCGAACGAAGUGGCGAACGGGUGAGUAAUACGUGGGUAACCUGCCCUCCUUUUUGGGAUCAGCCUUGGAAACGGGGUCUAAUACCGAAUAAAGGGGGAUGGGCUCGCGGCCUACCAGCUUGUUGGUGUGGCGAUGGCCUACAAAGGCGGUGCCGGGUAGCCGGCAUGAGAGGGUGACCGGCCACAGUGGGAAUGUGAUACGGCCCAGACUCCGACGGGAGGCAGCAGUGGGGGAUAUUGCACAAUGGGCGAAAGCCUGAUCCAGCCAUGCCGCGUGUGUGUAGAAGGUCUUCGGAUUGUAAAGCACUUUAAUUUGGGAGGCGUUACCAACAGAAUAAGCACCGGCUAACUUCGUGCCAGCAGCCGCGGUAAUUC